rnacentral:lncRNA from 1 species
CUGUAGUCCAGUGGUAAGGAUUCUGCACUUUCACCACUGCAGCCUGGAUUCAAUUCCCUUUCAGGGAACAAGACCCCAGGAGAUGUAAAUCCUUUAACUCAGGAAGGAAAAAUAAAAGAAAUACUUGGAAAAAAUUAGUUUGAAUUGUUUUGAAUUUAUAUUUGUAUGACUUCUUAACCUUUGGGGUACCCAUUCAUUCUGUAAGCCUCUCAUCCAGCUGUUGUUUUCCUCUGUCUUAAACCCUAGAGAAUAUGGCCAGACAAAAAUGUGGGUUGUACCCCAUUUGCGGCUGGCAAAACCUUGCUUUCUUUAAGCUGUUGUAGGGAAUGAUCUGGAUUUUGAAAGGGUUGCAACUUUUGCUCCCUCUUAGGAAACCUUGGUUGAAGCCAUCAAGAGCUUCUUGGUUUCAGUCUCAAAUGUUCUUAUUUGUUUUGAUUUUGAGUUAUUUCCUUUGGUUAAAACGUUGGUUUAUAUUUAGAGUGUGAUAGUAACUUUUUCCCCAUUAAUCUGCUUCCUCUACGGGGCCAGAGAGACAUACCUCCUGCUACAGCUGGGAACCAAACAGGAAUAACCCUGAAAAGCUGCCUUUUGUGGAGGAGACUUGCAUCUGUAGAGAAAAUCUACACUGGUGAAAUAAACAACCAGGCUUUCUUGGAGGCACCCCCUUAUCUGUACCUAGGAAAUUAUUAACUGAAAGUCUGACACCUACGAAGGUCUGACAGAGCAACUUAACACAGGCUCAUGCCUAUUCUUUCUAGGAGCUGCUAUCUAUGAAGUUUCAUCUGCAUAACUAGACCAUCUUUGCCCCAGCCCCUUCUUUCUUUCUCCCUCCCAUAACCAUGUUCCAAGCCCCUACUCUGCUGUAACCUCAAGAUGGUAUAAAAGCAUCAAGCAUCUGGCCCUUUCUCUCAGUUUUCAUAUUUUGUAUGACUCCCAUGCCCAUAUGCUCAUUAAUACAUUUGUAAGCUUUUCCCCCCUUGUUAAUCUAUUAGCAGUUUGUUUCAUAGACUCAAAUGAUCAAAACUUUAGGGGAAAAAAAUCAAAUUCAAAUUUCCCUAAAGUGGUCACACAUCUGGCUAGUGGCAGAGGUGAAUUUCAAAUCCAGCUCUCUGUAAGGGCCAGUUACUACUGCAUCACAAUACAACUUAUAAAGUGCUCUUACAUAUUCAUUCAAGGUACUGUUGUUAUUAUUAAACUUGUUUGAC